UAAAGGCCAUAUAACUGACGGAAGUGGGUUAACCACAUGGAGUAUGGCCGGAUUGAAGCCGACCGUCUGGGCAAACAUA
rnacentral:ncRNA from 2 species